AUUGGGUCUCCUUCCAAGGAGGCGAAUGUUCCGGAUAAACUCUGGGGCAAGAGGCAAUGGCAAACUGAAGAAGUCCUUCCUUUCCAGAGCCAAGUUGUUCACCUUCCAACGGGCAAACUCCCUGGGGGAAAAGCCAAGGGAUAAGGAAAAGCUGACCUCGUUUCAGAGCAAGAGGCAUAAAAUCUGAAGUACUGCAGGUGCUGCUCUUUUAGCCUGGGCCCCAGAAUAAACACCACUAGAAGAAACACCUAAUGGCCUCCUUGCAGACCAGCAGCGUGAUGCAAAGCUAACCCGGCGAACCUGCACAUGAAUGAGAUCCAGGACUCUGAGGCCCUAAGGAAUGGCAGUGAUGAGGUAGGAGUCUUGGUCCUGAAUGAUUUCAUGAAGCAAUCUCCUUUUAUGUCUCUCAUAAAUUGUAUUGGAGUGUGACAUGAGCAAAAACAUAAACUUUCAUUAAGUCACUCAGAUUUGAGGACUGUU